rnacentral:sRNA from 1 species
GCUUGCGGUCUGUAGCGCAUUUUCGAUGCGAGCGAGGUUGGCUGUUGCGAAGGUCCUCGGACGAGACCGACAUUCGUCGU